rnacentral:rRNA from 1 species
GUUAUAUGAUCAAGUGAAUAAGCGCAUACGGUGGAUGCCUUGGCGAUAACAGGCGAUGAAGGACGUGGUAGUCUGCGAUAAGCCCCGGGGAGCUGACAAACAAGCUUUGAUCCGAGGAUUUCCGAAUGGGGAAACCCACCCGCAAGGGUAUCGGUACCUGAAUACAUAGGGUAUCCGAAGCGAACCUGGUGAACUGAAACAUCUAAGUAGCCAGAGGAAAAGAAAUCAACCGAGAUUCCGUUAGUAGUGGCGAGCGAACGCGGAGCAGCCCAGUCACAUCAAAUCGGCGUCUUUUAGUGGAACGGUCUGGAAAGUCCGGCGAUACAGGGUGAUAGCCCCGUACACGAAAAGAGGCGUCGGUGGGUGACGAAGAGUAGGGCGGGACACGUGGAAUCCUGUCUGAAUAUGGGGGGACCAUCCUCCAAGGCUAAAUACUCGUUAUCGACCGAUAGUGAACCAGUACCGUGAGGGAAAGGCGAAAAGAACCCCGGAGAGGGGAGUGAAAUAGAUCCUGAAACCGUAUGUGUACAAGCAGUGGAAGUCCCGUGCCUCAUGCGCUCCUUCGGGGAGUCCAUGAGGCACGGGACGACCGCGUACCUUUUGUAUAAUGGGUCAGCGAGUUACUUUUCGUGGCAAGCCUAACCGUAUAGGGGAGGCGUAGGGAAACCGAGUCUGAAUAGGGCGAAUGAGUCGCGGGAAGUAGACCCGAAACCGGACGAUCUAUCCAUGGCCAGGUUGAAGGCGGGGUAACACCCGCUGGAGGACCGAACCAACCAAUGUUGAAAAAUUGGUGGAUGAGCUGUGGAUAGGAGUGAAAGGCUAAUCAAGUCCGGAGAUAGCUGGUUCUCCCCGAAAGCUAUUUAGGUAGCGCCUCGUGUAUCACCGUUGGGGGUAGAGCACUGUUACGGCUAGGGGUCCAUCCCGGAUUACCAAACCGUUGCAAACUCCGAAUACCAAUGAGUGCAGCACGGGAGACACACGGCGGGUGCUAACGUCCGUCGUGAAGAGGGAUGAAAACCCAGACCGCCAGCUAAGGUCCCCAAAUUACAGCUUAGUGGGAAACGAUGUGGGAAGGCUUAGACAGCCAGGAUGUUGGCUUAGAAGCAGCCAUCAUUUAAAGAAAGCGUAAUAGCUCACUGGUCGAGUCAGCCCGCGCGGAAGAUUUAACGGGGCUCAAGCUGUAUACCGAAGCUGCGGAUGUGCCUGUCCUCGGACAGGCACGUGGUAGGGGAGCGUUCUGUAAGCCUGCGAAGGUGACUCGGAAGGGUUGCUGGAGGUAUCAGAAGUGCGAAUGCUGACAUGAGUAGCGAUAAUGCGGGUGAAAAACCCGCACGCCGAAAGCCCAAGGUUUCCUGCGCAACGUUAAUCGGCGCAGGGUGAGUCGGCCCCUAAGGCGAGGUCGAAAGACGUAGUCGAUGGGAAACAGGUUAAUAUUCCUGUACCGGACGUUACUGCUAUGGGGGGACGGAGAAGGCUAGGCCGGCCGGGUGUUGGAUGUCCCGGUUUAAGCGUGUAGGUAGAUCCACUAGGCAAAUCCGGUGGGUUAUUACUGAGGCGUUAUGACGAGGUCCUUAAGUGGACCGAAGUGGUUGAUGCCAUGCUUCCAGGAAAAUCCUCUAUGCUUCAGGUAACGAACGACCGUACCCCAAACCGACACAGGUGGGCAGGGUGAGAAUCCCAAGGCGCUUGAGAGAACUCGGGUUAAGGAACUCGGCAAAUUGACACCGUAACUUCGGAAGAAGGUGUGCCUCCGGUAGGUGAAGGGCUUGCGCCCGGAGCCGAUGGAGGUCGCAGAGAAACGGUAGCUGCAACUGUUUAAUAAAAACACAGCACUCUGCAAACGCGUAAGCGGACGUAUAGGGUGUGACGCCUGCCCGGUGCUGGAAGGUUAAGUGAUGGGGUCAGCCGCAAGGCGAAGCUCUUGAUCGAAGCCCCAGUAAACGGCGGCCGUAACUAUAACGGUCCUAAGGUUAACUAUUCGCUAGCCUUAGUAAAACUGAACUAUAUGCGGGAAACUCCUCAAAAAUCGUCUGGUACCAGUCGCGGGAUGCGGCGGUAAAAAUCCAGCGGACACGGGGACAAUCCGCAGGGAAGACUUGGUAUGCCCCAAGAACCCUCAGAGACUUUACGUUCAGGAGCAUUUUGUGAAGCUGGACGCGCAAUGGAUCACAGGCUUUGUGGAUGGUGAAGGCUGUUUCCAUGUGGGGAUCAACGCCCGCAGGGAAGCAACACCGGGUUACCAGGUGUUGCCGGAAUUCACCGUAGUGCAACACAAGCGCGAUGUGCAAGUCCUGCAUGCUUUGAAGGAGUAUUUCGGAUGCGGCGUGGUGCGUAUCAGCCACGGCGACGAGAUGGCCUUUAGGGUGCGCGGGCACAAGGAUCUUCAAGAGCAUAUCGUUCCAUUUUUCGUCAAGCACUCGCUGAAAACCCGGAAGAACGUGGACUUCAUAAGAUUUCGUCGCGUUGUUUCGAAAAUGGCAGCGGGGGAGCAUCUCACUCCCGAAGGCCUCGAAGAGAUUCGGGGAAUCGUGGAGCAGAUGAACCGCAAAGGCUCAAGAUAAAGUCCGACUUAUUCGGAAACGGAUAGGAGAAGAUCGAGCGAAAUUCCUUGUCGGGUAAGUUCCGACCUGCACGAAUGGCGUAAUGAUGGCUACACUGUCUCGACCCGAGACUCAGCGAAGUUGAAUUUGCUGUGAAGAUGCAGCAUACCCGCCGCAAGACGGAAAGACCCCGUGCACCUUUACUAUAGCUUCACACUGGACUUUGAACAUGUCUGUGUAGGAUAGGUGGGAGGCAAUGAAGUGGGGACGCUAGUCCUCAUGGAGCCAACCGUGAAAUACCACCCUGACCUGUUUGAGGUUCUAACCGUGGUCCGUCAUCCGGAUCCGGGACCGUGUGUGGUGGGUAGUUUGACUGGGGCGGUCUCCUCCCAAAGAGUAACGGAGGAGCGCGAAGGUACCCUCAGCGCGGUCGGAAAUCGCGCUUCGAGUGCAAUGGCAUAAGGGUGCUUAACUGCGAGACAGACACGUCGAGCAGGUGCGAAAGCAGGUCAUAGUGAUCCGGUGGUUCUGUAUGGAAGGGCCAUCGCUCAACGGAUAAAAGGUACGCCGGGGAUAACAGGCUUAUACCGCCCAAGAGUUCAUAUCGACGGCGGUGUUUGGCACCUCGAUGUCGGCUCAUCACAUCCUGGGGCUGUAGCCGGUCCCAAGGGUAUGGCUGUUCGCCAUUUAAAGUGGUACGCGAGCUGGGUUUAGAACGUCGUGAGACAGUUUGGUCCCUAUCUGCGGUGGGCGUUGGAGAUUUGAGAGGAUCUGUCCUUAGUACGAGAGGACCGGGAUGGACGUACCUCUGGUGUGCCGGUUGUCAUGCCAAUGGCAUUGCCGGGUAGCUAUGUACGGAUGGGAUAACCGCUGAAAGCAUCUAAGCGGGAAACCCACCUCAAGAUGAGAUCUCCCUGAGAGUGUAACUCUCCUAAAGGUUCGUCGAAGACUACGACGUUGAUAGGCGGGGUGUGUAAGUCCAGUAAUGGAUUGAGCUAACCCGUACUAAUUGACCGUGCGACUUGAUCAUAUAACACCCAAGGUGUU